rnacentral:tRNA from 2 species
CCUUAGCUCAGCUGGGAGAGCGCCUGCUUUGCACGCAGGAGGUCAGCGGUUCGAUCCCGCUAGG